GUUCUCGUAUUUAUGCAGCUUUACUGUAGUAGACAAUUGUGAAUGUGCGAAGGAUUUGUCGUAUUAUAUAUAGUAGGGAAAGACAGGACAAUGAGAGGUGAAGUUAUAGAAGAAGUUGAUCUAAGCUCGAGCUUAUUCAACCACUCUGACUCUUCAGAUCUUCGCAAAAGAACUGGUUCUUACACACAGGUCAUUCAAGCAAUCAGAUGCCAAACCUCCAACACACAGAAUUGCUCCUGUUGUCGAGUCUAGGAUCACAUUAGUGUCUGUUAGAAGUGAAGUGCAAGAGCGAGCAUUCAUAUCCAAACAGUACAAAAUGGACGGCAGUGGCACAUAUAAUAGCAGGAGUAGUCGGGGAAGGGGUGCUAUCCCUAGCAUGGAGGGUAGCGCAGCUCGAUUGGAUCCUAGGUCCUCUCUGCAUCGUCCACUUCUCUGCAAUCACUCUCAUUUCAGCUACUCUUCUUGCUGAUUGAUACAGAUGUUGGAAGGAUGAAUCAGUCACUGAUCCAUGCUGUGUUUGUCUGUCUGUUAAGGUUGUCUCUGUUGUAUGUGGGUCAGUUAAGUCGAAGUCAGUUGGCUCUCUUGACAGUUAAGUGUUUGUUGUUUUUUUUUGAAUUUUAAAUGUAACCGUAGAGCAGUUACCAGCAGUUGUAUUAUCUUUAUAUGUAUGGGAUAUGUCAGACAAUGUAUGGUGGUUCCAGUGGAUGAAUGA